rnacentral:tRNA from 1 species
AACUAUUUUAGAGUGUUUUGAAAACACUUUAUAAGGAUUUUUCCUUUUGGUUU